rnacentral:rRNA from 1 species
AUGCUGAGCAGGUACCGGCACAUGGGGGUCAGCGAGGGGAAGCUGCGCUACGUCCAAGUGUCCAACAGAGACGACAGGUCGUGCGUGAUCCUUUCGUUUUCGCUGGAUGACGAGACCUACAGCUGGGCGCUGGAUCAUUCAGCUCAAAUUACAGAUCGGCGCGACCGCUGCCAUGUUCAGAUUGCUGCCAUAGAUCCAUUCAAAGCCAACCUUGUGUACCUCCAGCAUGGUGGCAGUGUCAUUGCCAUGGACCUGGCUAACAAAAAGGAGAUUUGGAGGAGUUCCCUUCCACAAGAAAUCUUCUUUGAAAAUUUGCUCCGUGGUAGUUCUCUUGUUCCGUGCGCGCUCCCAACAUGGCUGGCCACAAGCCAUAUCCCCACUUCUGCAGGGGCAGGGCCCUCGGUGAUCUACCUAGUGUGA